rnacentral:lncRNA from 1 species
GAUGAUCCAACAAGUCAAUCCAAUAAUGCAAUCCCAAUGGUUUUAGGAUGAACACAAAGACCAUGACCAAGUCGACCGGGAAGCGUGUUGCCAAGCAAGUAGAUACAGUAGCUACUGGAUGGUGGAGCAGGUUCUUCCAUUGCUUCUCUGUUCAACCAUGAAUCUGCUGAUGGAGGAGAGCUGUGCCUGCAAGCAGAUUCAUGGAGAAAGAUGAUGCAUCAGUGAGCAAGACCAACUACAGACAGUAUAAAUAAAGUAAUCAACUCGGUUGUUUCAUUUCUCUUCUCCGAUCUGAGCACAGAAAAAUGCUUUGGAAAGUACAACUCGAAGUAACGAGUUCUCGAAGUAAAGGCAGUCAAUGAUGACAGCUUUGCUCUUGGCGAGUAGCUCCUGGGAUCAUAAAGCUGGGUAUCAUCUUGUGUUGAACAGUCUUCACACUUCCAACACAAAAGCAUGCGACGAGGAUGAGCAGCUACAAAUGAAGUGCUUGGAGGUUACUUUACUUGUGUAGUUCUUCGAUUUCAAUGCAGAUGGUUUAGGCAUUUGCUAGGAUAAUGUUUGUUUGUCUACUCUCAAAGAGUCUCUCAUCUAUCAAGCAUGAUUAGAGGUGUAGCUUCUUGAUUCAGAAAAACCUGCCUAUUGUUCUGACUUUAUCUCCUUACUUCUGACUCGUCCUGUGUUAUUUAAAAAGAGAAG